GUGGGGAAUAUUGGACAAUGGGGGCAACCCUGAUCCAGCCAUGCCGCGUGAAUGAUGAAGGCCUUCGGGUUGUAAAGUUCUUUUGGAGGGGACGAUGAUGACGGUACCCUCAGAAUAAGCUCCGGCUAACUUCGUGCCAGCAGCCGCGGUAAUACGAAGGGAGCUAGCGUUGUUCGGAAUUACUGGGCGUAAAGGGCGCGUAGGCGGUUUGGUUAGUCAGAUGUGAAAGCCCAGGGCUUAACCCUGGAACUGCGUUUGAUACUGCCAAGCUUGAAUUCGGGAGAGGUGAGUGGAAUUCCCAGUGUAGAGGUGAAAUUCGUAGAUAUUGGGAAGAACACCGGUGGCGAAGGCGACUUGCUGGCCAGCAACUGACGCUGAGGCGCGAAAGCCAGGGGAGCAAACGGGAUUAGAAACCCCGGUAGUCC
rnacentral:rRNA from 1 species